GUCACGGUGGCUUAGUGGUUAGAACUUCUGCCUCAACCCCUGGGGUUGGGGGUUUGAUUCCCUCCUCAGCCC